UCUACUUAUUUACCCAAAUUGAUAGUAAAACAUCACCCUCUACCUAAAAGUAUCGAUGCUGCUCACAUGCAAGAGUUAGCUCCACACACCAAAGACAUUUUAAUUCUUAAGGGAGCUCAAAUAAAGAAAGAAUUCACACUCACUCUCACAAAGAAAUUCAAGUACAUCGAAUAGAACCAUAGGCUUGCCCUUUGUGUUUUUCGCCAUUA
rnacentral:lncRNA from 1 species